rnacentral:rRNA from 1 species
CUGGGAUAACUCCGGGAAACCGGGGCUAAUACCGGAUGGUUGUCUGAACCGCAUGGUUCAGACAUAAAAGGUGGCUUCGGCUACCACUUACAGAUGGACCCGCGGCGCAUUAGCUAGUUGGUGAGGUAACGGCUCACCAAGGCGACGAUGCGUAGCCGACCUGAGAGGGUGAUCGGCCACACUGGGACUGAGACACGGCCCAGACUCCUACGGGAGGCAGCAGUAGGGAAUCUUCCGCAAUGGACGAAAGUCUGACGGAGCAACGCCGCGUGAGUGAUGAAGGUUUUCGGAUCGUAAAGCUCUGUUGUUAGGGAAGAACAAGUGCCGUUCAAAUAGGGCGGCACCUUGACGGUACCUAACCAGAAAGCCACGGCUAACUACGUGCCAGCAGCCGCGGUAAUACGUAGGUGGCAAGCGUUGUCCGGAAUUAUUGGGCGUAAAGGGCUCGCAGGCGGUUUCUUAAGUCUGAUGUGAAAGCCCCCGGCUCAACCGGGGAGGGUCAUUGGAAACUGGGGAACUUGAGUGCAGAAGAGGAGAGUGGAAUUCCACGUGUAGCGGUGAAAUGCGUAGAGAUGUGGAGGAACACCAGUGGCGAAGGCGACUCUCUGGUCUGUAACUGACGCUGAGGAGCGAAAGCGUGGGGAGCGAACAGGAUUAGAUACCCUGGUAGUCCACGCCGUAAACGAUGAGUGCUAAGUGUUAGGGGGUUUCCGCCCCUUAGUGCUGCAGCUAACGCAUUAAGCACUCCGCCUGGGGAGUACGGUCGCAAGACUGAAACUCAAAGGAAUUGACGGGGGCCCGCACAAGCGGUGGAGCAUGUGGUUUAAUUCGAAGCAACGCGAAGAACCUUACCAGGUCUUGACAUCCUCUGACAAUCCUAGAGAUAGGACGUCCCCUUCGGGGGCAGAGUGACAGGUGGUGCAUGGUUGUCGUCAGCUCGUGUCGUGAGAUGUUGGGUUAAGUCCCGCAACGAGCGCAACCCUUGAUCUUAGUUGCCAGCAUUCAGUUGGGCACUCUAAGGUGACUGCCGGUGACAAACCGGAGGAAGGUGGGGAUGACGUCAAAUCAUCAUGCCCCUUAUGACCUGGGCUACACACGUGCUACAAUGGACAGAACAAAGGGCAGCGAAACCGCGAGGUUAAGCCAAUCCCACAAAUCUGUUCUCAGUUCGGAUCGCAGUCUGCAACUCGACUGCGGAAGCGGAAUC